rnacentral:lncRNA from 1 species
CCAGGAGGCUGCACAAGUCUGAUCUGGCAAUGUUUCAACAGCUGGAUGCCCUUCUUAACACCAACCAUUCUAAGAGUGUAGUGGGUGCUUUUUACAUGCCACAGGCACGAGAGCCAGUCGGGUCGAGGGAGCUGGCAUCAACCACGUUUGGAAGCUGCUUUUUACAUGCCACCGGUACGGAUCACAACUACAAUUUUCAUUUGUGAUUUGAUUUUAUUUUGAUGUUGAUGUACUUGACUCAAUAGGUCUCCUCAAGCACGGUAUGUCACCCUACAAUCCAAGGGUACUUUUUGAGUUGGCUGGUUAUAUGACACUUUAUUUGCCGGGUUUUCUCUGUCACAGCAUAUCUCCAGAGGUCUCUGUCUUUUGUCAUUUCCUCUGUGAGGCCCAACAUUUGAAAGUCAUGCUUCACCACCUCAUCCCAUGUUUUCCUGGGUCUCCCUCUACCCUGGAUUCCUUCCACUGUUUGGGAGUGGCACUUCUUCACACAGCUCUCCUCAUCCAUCCAUAGUACAUGACCAUACCAAUGCAAAUGUCUCUCUUGCAUGCCACAUCCAAUGCUUCUUAUGUCCAACAUUUUUCUCAGGGUGCUUACACUGUUGUGUGCACACACUGACAUUACACAUCCAGCAGAUCAUGCUAGCUUUAUUUCUUUUGAGGCUACACAUGUCUUCAGCAGUCACAGCCCAUGUUUCACUGCCAUGAAGCAUGGCAGUUCACACACAUGCAUCGUACAAUCUACCUUUGACUGAGUGAGAGGUCCUUUGUCACCAGUAUAGGUAGAAGCUGUCUGAACUUUGCCCAGGCAAUUCUUAUUCUAGUGUUAAUGCUCUCUGAGCAUCCAUCCCCACUACUGACUUGGUCCCAUAGGUAGUGGAAACUAUCAACUACUAGUUUCUCCCCCUGGCAUGUGAUGGAAUCUAGUUUCUGAGCAUGUGUGGUGUUUAUUGCCUGUGCAUCUGCCGCACACAAAAGCUAUCUUCCUAUGAUAUUGCUGCACCUCUUUUGCAUCCAUAGCUUACACUGGGUACAUCUUAUGGAGUUUCUACCUAUACCUUUUCUAUAGAUCAAGCAGAGCCACCUACCUGAAGGGUUUUGUGAUAUGUUCACCUUCCUACUUAAUAAGACUUUGGUUUUAGCUAGGUUAACCCUAAGGCCCUUCGACUAUAAACCUUGCUUCCAUACCUGAAAUUUCUUCUCUAGUUCUGGUAGUGAUUCUGCUAUGAGUGCCAGGUCAUCAGCAUAGAGGUGCUCCCAGGGCAACCAGUCUUGAAUUCCUCUCUUAUUGCCUGAAGGACUAUGAUGAAUAAGAGGGGGCUGAGGGCUGAUCCUUGGUGGACCCCUACUUCUACCCGGAAUUCUUCACUAUACUCGUUGCCAACCCUAACCUUACUAAUGGCAUCUCUGUAUAGGGCCUGCAGAACUGUUUGAAUAAAUUUCAGUUGUAAGAAAAUACCAUUACAAUUGAGUAAAUUUUCUCAGGUGAGACACUGUCUGACGUGUAAAAAUUGAAAACGUGAAUUUUGAGUAUUUCAAUGUAUAAUUUUUCAGUGAUUUGGACCUCAAGGAAGCAAAGUGGCUGAGUUCCUUUCAAGCGAUGGGCCUCACAGAGGCAAUGACCAAGACUUUUGGCAUUAUGUCAUGCUUGAGAAGACCUGUCAAGCCCAGCAAAGCCGCAGAUACCAGUGUCAUGCAAAUGGCACGAAAAAGCACCCAUUACACUUUCAGAGUGGUUGGCUUUAGGAAGGGCAUCCAGCCGGAGAAAAUUAUGCCAAAUCAGACUGGAGUCUGAUGCGACCUUCCAGCUUCCCGGCCCUGGUCAAACUGUCCAACCCAUGCCUGCAUGGACAACAGACAUUAAAUGAUAAUAAUUUCCUCUAUAAUAUUGUUUACAACAUUUUCUAUUAUUUGAAUAAUUAACAGAUCAAAUGUCAUUAAACAAUAAUGCACUUCUAAUUCAAAAAAGAUUUCUCAGGUCUGACCAAGAAAAAAACGACUGAGUCCAUGGUAUUUGCAGGCUUUUGUAGACCAGAAUAAGGAAGCAGGUCAGGCCAGUGUAGUUAAUGUUCUGUCUGAACUGCUGAAUAUCAGUAUUUUGAGAGAAAAUAUGUGACAUGAGAAUUAGAGAGUAGUGCAGGUUUGAGGUGGAAAGAUUGGAGUAAAUAGUAUACUAAAAAAAAAAAUCAAUAAAAAAAUAAGAGAAGGAAUUGAAACAGGUGCAAUCAUGAAAAGAGCACAUAGUUGGUGAGCUUAAAGAACAGACAGUAUUGCAGAAGAUAAAGAGAUGUCUUGAAGUGAGAGUGAAGUCUUGCCUCAUCAUUUUAUAAUCAAUUUUUCCAUGCUGAAUGUGACUGCCAUAUAGUACUGUGUUGCAAGCUUUUGAGCCAGGUGAGGAUAAUUUUGUCCCUUCUUCACAUGAGUAUCAGAUCAGGAAAAAGGGUCAUAACACUGUCUUUCUUGUGAUUAAGCCAUUCACUUAAACAAAAAAUUUAACAUUAAACAUUCAACAGAACAUGCUUAUUACAUUUCUCUUAAGCUUGACAAUCUUCUGCAUUAUUUAAUGUCCAUGUUAACUUUCUUUUAUUCAUAUCUUUAUUUUGUUAAUUUAUCUUGCAUUUUGUAAACAAGAGCCUUGGUUACAGAUUUACAAAAGGCUAAUCACUGGUUCACAAAAGGCUAAUCACUGGUUCACAAAAUUUAUGAUGGUGACUGAAAAGCAAGUAUUUACACAACUCAAGCAGAACCAAUACCACAAGGUAUUUUUGUUCAAAGGCACCAGUUUAUUGCUUUUCUCAUUGUUAUUUACAUCUUACACAAGCAGUAGUACAAGACGCAGAUGUAUGACAGUCUUGUGCACAGUUUCUGUCGACCUAAUUCUAUUUGUAAAGCAUUGAUCAAUGCUAGGCUACAAUAAAAAAAAAACUACCCUCAGUGCCAUAUCGCUACAUGGAACCUGGAAUAAUGUAGCUGUGAAGCAAACUUCAAAGCCAUAAGGCCAUGUUUGCUCCUAUUGAAGAUAGUUUAGAAUGUAAAAGUGUUUAAUGGGUAGCCAGUCCCAAAUUUGUAAUGCAUAACUCUUGGCCUGUUCAAAGCAUUCUCACAAGUUUGUUCUAAACGUUCAUACUUGUUUUCAGAUUUUCAGUUGGCCAUUGUUGUAUAAAAUAAAGCUUUCUUUUUGUAAAUCUCAAGUUACUCUGGUGGUUGAAAAAAUCGGGAAUGUGUAUCAUAUGUGAUGCAUGGUCACCUGGGGAAUAUAUCCUGUGUUUCAUGUGAUACACCGGAAAGGUAAAGGGUUAGAGAGCCAGCAACUGUUCCAGGGUGAAAUAUUUUUGCUUCUGAUCAGAAGAUCCAGUUUUUGUAAUAUAAUUCCAAUGAAAAAUUAUCAGUGAUUGUUGAAACCUUGUAUUUGAGAGAAAAAUUUAGAUGUUUCUCGUUAUGUGUUGCCUAUGAGUAGUGUUGAUAAGCUUUCUUGAUAUGUGUAAUGUGGCUUGUUUUGUAGAUGAGGAUUCCUGCACAGAAAUUUCAAGGAUGUAUGUGGUAGAAGCCUGUAGAUGGAAAGUGAGGCAGGAUGUAGGGUGGUGUCAUCUAUAUAAGAGCAUUUCUAAAAGGAUAUAAAUGCCUCUACAAGCUAUAAAAUCCUCUUGUAUACCAGAAUUUAGCUUAGGUUUCAUAAAAAAUAAAUUUUCCCCUGCAGUAGAUGCCAGUUUCUCGCCGGGUACAUUCCCAUGUUGAUCUGGUACUUGUUCUUACUGACAGAUAAGUUCAUCAGAAACCAAGUUGAUAAGGAGCCUCUGCAUCAAUGAUCUGCUAAAAAUAACAGUCAAAUCUUCAACCAACACCCUUCUAUUUUUUUUUAAAAUUGCACAUUGGAUAAUGUAGCUAUAGGAAUACUACAUAGAAAUGAAAGACAGGAUGACCAUGGUUGGAAGGCCUUUGAUCAUGGAUCUGUUCAAUUAAGGCCAACAUAAACAACAACAACAACAAAAACAGAUUAUCAUUCAUAAAAAAGAAACCCUGUGUAGGCAGGAAUUUGCAGAAAUGUGUAUAUUGAAAUAAUAAUAUAUCAAGAUGAGAAAUGAUAAUGUCCAUGGAAAUAUGAAUCAAUCUUUUAACAAUUCAGGUAGAAUGAAUAUUUAGAAAUGGUAUGAAGCGAAGAGUUCACUGUUUUAAAAUAAUUUUAAAAAAGAGGCAAAAAUAUUUUAAAACAUCUGUAGCCAACUUAUUUCCUAAAAAAAUUAUGUUUUUAGCUAAAAUCAGGUUUGCUCAGAACAAAAUGUCCUGAACUGGUUUGUCUUUAUUAGUGUCUGUUGAUAAAAAGGUGCUUAUAAUAAUACUAUAGAAAACCUUGAGUGAGCAUUAAAAAGUGUGAAUAUUACAUAUUUGUCUAAGAGCAAAGAUUUCUUUUUCUUCCUUUUUCCAAAAAUGGAUUAAUUUAAAAGAUAAAUAUAUUGUGCAGUUAUUUUAUGUCAUGGACAAAAGUUCAGAUUUUUAAAAAAGUUCAUUUUUUUCCUCUAAAAUGAUAUAUAUAUAUAUAUAAUUUUUUAAAUUAUCCAUUACUAUCUUUGGAGCAGAUAUUUUCACUGGCCAUUGCACAGCAGUGACCAAUUGUACAGAGAGAAAUCAACCAGUCAAGAGACAGGGUGUGUGUGUGUGUGUAUAUAUAUAUAUAUAUAUAAAACUGACUUAUAAAACCAGUUUUAUUUCCUUUGACAAAUUUUGUAGAGAAGGAAACCAAAUAAGGUCAUUAUUUUUCUAUAAAUAAAUACAUCCACUCUGCAUUUAUGCCAUAUGCAAAUUGUGGUUUUUCCUAAUAUAUAUAUAUAUAUAUAUACACACACACACACACAUAUAUAUAUACGCACACACAUACAUAUAUAUAUAUAGAUAUAUAUGUAAAAUAUAUAUAUAUAUAUACACACACACAUAUAUAUAUAUAUAUAUAUAUAUAUAUAUAUAUAUAUAUAUAUAUAUAUAUAUAUAUAUAUAGACGAGAACAAAAUGGAGGAAAAAUAACAAACUGAAGUGUGUCUUUUGCACUAGUAAGCCUUUAUUUAAUUAGUAAAUAAAGGUAAAGAGUGAGAGUGAUGUUGUUUACAAUAGUGAAGAAAAUAUAUAUUUAUAUUUUUGCCUUGUUGCCAGUGGUAGACAUCAUCAGAAGGAACAAGUCAGACAUAGAGAGAAGAAGAGUAAGAUCAAUGGUUACAUUGGAAAAGAGAAGACCAAAGAUUCAAGUGUCUUACAUUAUAGUUGGGUUCACAGUUUGUUAAGUCCAUUGUGAGAUGGAUAAAGAAUAUAAGUUAGUUGGACCUGUGGUCUCGUGGUUAUUCAGUGGCAUGUCUUGCACGUGUCUGUGAUUUCUAGGGGUUACCCCCAGAAGUUACAGGCAACUAUAAUGUAAGACAUUCAAAUCUUUGAUCUUCUCUUUUCUGAUGUAACCAUUGAUCUUUCACUCUUCUUCUCUCUACCUCUGACUUCUUCGUCCUGGUGAUGUCUACCAUUGCCAAUGAGGCAAAAAUAUAAAAAUAUAUUUUUCUCACCAUCAUAAACAACUUCACUCUCACUCUCACCUUUAUUUACUAAUUAAAUAAUGGUUUACUAGUGCAAAAAACACACUUCUGUUUGUUACUUUCCCCCAUUUUCUUCUCGUCUAUAUAAAUUAAACUACAGUUACCCGCUAAAUUACCUGCUGCUGUAUAUACCUUUUACCAAGGAAUAUGCCUACUGAGGUAACUACCAGAAGUGCCUUUGGAUAUAUAUAUCCCUUAGAGACUUUAAACACUUCUAACUUAUACCUACAUAUAUACAUACGUAUAUACAUAUAUAUAUAUAUAUAGAGAGAGAGAUACAUAUAUAUAUAAUUAAGAGAAAUAACCUCUAUUAAGCAAUUCAAUAGUGAAAGACAGUAUCUAUAUUAUAUAGAAAAAAUUUAAAUAUACUAUAAUAAAAAUUAUUCAAAAAUAUCAAUAAAUAAAUAAUCAUUAAAUUGACUACGC